rnacentral:sRNA from 1 species
GUAGAUGCUCAUUCCACCUCUUAUGUUCGCUUCGGCCUCAUAAACCCAGGAAUGACGCAGAGCCACUUUAAGGUACCCGUUGUCCAGCCAGCCUGUAUCGCUUACGCCUUACAGGAAUACAGGGCACACCGUUGAGUCGGGUACCAAUCGGUUGUCUGACCGACCUGAUACUUAUACCUGCCACUGUUGUGGCAGGUUUUUUUUU